AUGGAUCAUUAUCUUUGCAAAUUUCUUCAUGCUGAACUACCCAUGUUACAUGUUAGCAGGAUGGUUAGACCCGCUGGUCGUGGUCGUGGUGGCAACGACCCACCACCGCCUGAAUACAUGGCUGGUAUGAUCCAACAGUUUGAGCUGAACUGCCAGUUCAUGGAAGGAGUGAUAGCUCAGUUUCCUCGCCCCAACUUGAACCAGCAGCCAGCAACUGUGACACUAAACGACUUUGCACACCUCAACCCAAGCAUCUACCGCAACUCAACUCAGCCACUUGAUGCUGACGACUGGCUACGUGACAUCACUUUCGGGCUAGAGUCUGCUGGUGUAGCCCCUGCCAGCUAUGUCACCUUUGCGGCCUAUUCUCUGAAGGGCCCCGCUGCUCAAUGGUGGGACAGCCACAGGCGCUCUUUACCUGCUGAAACAGUCAUCACUUGGCCAGAUUUCCAAGCUGCUUUCCAUGCCCGCUUCAUUCCUCAAGGAAUUAUGGACAGGAAGAAGCGCGAGUUCCGCAACCUCACCCAAGGCAACAAGACUGUGGAUGCUUAUCAGUGGGAGUUCCUUGACUUGUCCCGCUAUGCUGAAUAUGACAUUGCCACUGAUGCACGUAAACAGGAAAAGUUCCGUGAUGGACUUCAGGCAGAUAUCAAACUGGCGCUCCUCGUGCAUGACUUUGCGGAUUUCGCCACCUUGGUGAACAAGACCAUUCAGGUCGAAACUGGUCUGUAG
rnacentral:rRNA from 1 species